AUUGAUGUUUGCCACUAAGAUAACUUUUUAGCACCAGAACCCGGGUUUAAAUUGGUGCUUGAAAGCCCUGUUUGUUUCAGAUUCCAUCCCUCCCUGGGAAGCUGCUAGGAAACAGAAACUGCUGCUGCAAUUUCCCAGCUUCUGAAAUGGCAGCAAGUCCAUUUCCAUAUCUUUGAUGUUGCUCCCAUGAAGAUGUGAGUGCACUCAGAAGUGCUGGAUAACAGAGCCAGGUACUGAGAUUGUGCCUGACACCAGAGUGACUUUGCCUCUGUGGGUUGGCCUCAGUGAGGGCCAAGUGCAAGCACAGCCACAGGAACAGCACAGAGAUGUACAAGAGAAUGAUGGGAUUGCUACAGUAAGGAAAAAUACAAUUAUAAGAGCCACUCCUACCAGGUUAGAUGCAAGUCUCUCCCAUUUAGUGAGAAACACAGACAAGCAAACAAAUGCAGCAACCAAACUAAAAAUGAUGGAAUUGUGUUUUUCAGAUCUCCUUGUUCCAUAUGUCAGUGACAUUUUCCCUGAGGAGACAUGAUUAUUUCUCAAUUUUGCCCAAAUGAACUGAGGAGAUCCCCAGCCAGAAUGAAAAAAUAGGAACUUCUUCAGAGGGGACAGACAUCUGUGCUGCGGAGUAAUCAUCAAACUCAGAAUUGUGGCAAGAAGAUAUUAUCAAUAAUAUCUCACCUCUCAUUACAAGGACAUGAAUUCCAGAAAUGUGAAUUUAAAUUACCUGUUCAGAAGAAUAUUCAGAUUCCAAAAUCUACAAAACAGGAACUGAUGGAAUCAGUGCUGCUGAAGCAAGCAGACUCUUUAAAUGCAAGCAUAAACUGCUGGAAACUUCCUCCCUGGCCCCAACAAUUUCUCUUAAUUACAGAUCUCUAUAUUUCUCUAAAUUGUGCUGCUGUGUUGCUAGCACACUUCAAGCCAAUGGAGUUACUGGCUAGAUAACCCAUCCUUACCACAAAAAGAAAAAUGGGAGCAAAUGUGCAUGUGGGAGAGUUCAAGGUCCAGAUUUUGGAAGGAAAUAAAUGUCUCUUAAUUCCAUUGACUGUCA
rnacentral:lncRNA from 1 species